UAUAAAUCGCAGUAAUCCGCUUAAAUAUUUUAUCAGUAAUAUAAUAUAAUAUGAUACGUAUAAUAAUAAAUUAUGAUCUUACAGUUACUUAUAUUUACGUUAGAUGUCAUUUAAAUAAUACUUAUGUAUCAUAGGUGAACGCAGAGGGUAUGCAAGGUAUGCAGCUGCAUACCCUGAACGCUAGGCUUGGAUUAAGGGGGGGAAUAGGGGGCUACAUUCCCAAGGUCCUCAAAAACCAUUUUAUGAGUGAAAUAAAAUAUUUGCAAAAUAUGUACGUUUUAUGUUGUAAUUCAAUUUGAAUUUUAAGUAAAUAUUACAUUUUUAAUUAAACAGUUGGUAAGACAUUUCAAUAUUUAUGUAUAUUUUUUUUAUCAGAGUUUUACGAGCUUAAAAGAACAUUCAGAUGCGCUUGAGGCAGCCUUCUGCAUACCCUGAAAAAGAAACCUACGCACGCCUAUGAUGUAUUUAAUAUAUACGUCAUUAUCUAUUGAUGGUGUACCUAUACAUUGUAGCUAAUAACCUACAAUAUAUACAAUGUAUAGGUGCAAUAUAAUAAUAAUUAAUUUUAGCAUAUUUGAUUUAUUAUUUAUGAAAUACGAAAUGAGAUAUCAAUGUAUAAUUUACAUUGAUUGAAUUUAUUUUUUAUGUUUAUUUUAGAAUUUGAAUAAGGUUAUCAAAAUUAUCGCAUUAUUAUUUUAUUGUUAUUGCGAUCGAGUACCAUCUAGCGGCGCCAAACACAUAUUUUAGAUAGCUGGUGGUAUGUAUAAACAAGUAUAUUAAUGGUUUAUUUUAAAUUUUGGACUUUAAGAUAAUUAUAGUCCUUAUCAUUAUUGAUAUGAUUAUUUCAAUAUAUUUUAGUUACUACACCUCGUCUUACUAGGUACUCGAGAGUAUUUGGAAGAAGUAAUUAGAACUUUAGGUAAAAAAACUUGGUUUCAUACAAUCAUGUAUCCGAGAUUGGGUGGUAUGCGAUAUGUGUUGGAAGUGUUUAGCUAAAUAUAUACUGUAUAUAUACGUGAUUAUGAUUGCGUGAUUUGUAAUUAGACAAUUUCCGUCAGUUGGUGUUUAGUAGUAAAUCAAAAUGGACAAGUUUAUGCUGUGUUAUAUUUCGGAGGAUGAAGUAUUGAUGAAAAAUUAUUGCUCUUGUAAAUUACUUUAAAAAUGAAAAGGAUGAAAUUUUUAGUGAAUAUAACAGA